GGGGAAAACCAGGAAGCAAGAGGGAACAAGCUUUCGAAAGUUCUCCAGUUUGGAGAUCCGAUCAGGAUGAAAUGAAAAAUGGUGUUGGACGAAGAUGCACAGAGGUUUCUUCGAAGAGCUUGGAUUUAUCUCUCUCGAGAUUCUUCGAUCGGAAACUUCCGUAGUACAAAGGACGGUGGAGGUAAAAAUCGAACGAGGAAGGGAAGAAAUAUGCAAUAGUUCGAGGCUGUCUCCAAGCAACACUUGCAAGUUUAUCAAAUAAAUUCAUGGUAAAAAACUCCUAAGUUGAGACAAAAUAUAUUAAUUUUAGAUUUUCUUAGGGUGAUUGUCCUUGACAAAGCUAGAUGAGGGAACAUUUCUUCCUCACUCUCUCUUUAUCUCUUCAUUUCUCUCUUCUCCUCUCCGGCGAAUCUCGCCACAGCUGCCGCCGCCCUUCAUUCUUCCUCUCUCAGGUUCCCUUGGCGCUCCCUGCUUCCCUUCACUGGUCGGCGCUGUCACGACUGCCAG